CCUAGUCACUGCCUUCGUUCUUCCCUACUCUACCGAUGUCAUAUUUCACCCCAAGUCACACUGUGUCCUCCUAACUCCAACGUCAGAGCUUCCAGUGGGGAUUUGUUCAACAUUCUCCCCCCUGCAGUUUCAAAUCAUCCAUCGAUAUAACAUUUCCUGCCAAGAUGCACACAUGGUGCUCCAUGUUUUAUUAACACUACUUGCAGCAACAACAUCAUAGAGAAACAAAAAAACAUACCACCUGCUUGGGGAUCUUCUGAACAACUGUCGGCUCUGGCUGUCGCUCGAUGCAGGACAUUUUGUGAUGGUAAAUCAGUAUACCGGUAGUUAGGAGGUAACACCAUAAUAUUAUCUACCAGGGUCUCGUGCUUCGGAGUUUUCAAAAAGGUAUGGUUUCAAAGCCUCUUAAAUUUGACUACUGCGGUUUAAAUGCUUUUAAUGGGGCUUCAGAGGAAGUGUCGAAGUUACCAUUAAUUUCUCAGUCUGUACGAUGCAUAG